UAUACGUUACCAUUGCGCUCUGCAGUCGUCAAGCCAACGUCAUCUCGAGUGAUAAUCAUAUAAUAUAUUCAACACGAAUUCUGCUGAAAUCCUAUUGAUAUAUUUAGUUUUUUUUUUUUAAUUUUUUUGUGUUUUUCAUUUUUAUACAUUAAUUAAUUCACGCGAAUUUGGUAUACGUCGACAAACUUGGUUAUCGUAUACUUAUUACGUUUGAAUUAAUUCGAAUAACAAUCUUGAACAUUUUUAUCCCUAUGAAUAGUAUAUUUUUGUUGUUAACAAUUUACAAUAUUAUAUAUGUCACAAUUAAUUAAAAGAGAGUACGACACUGUGCGAUUUUCUCCAAAAAAUUGUUUUAAAGCUUCCCAAUAAUAUUAUAUUAUUGUUUGUAAUUCAUUUUUAAUUUUUUUUUCUAAAUUUUCUAUAUCACUUGUUAUAUAAAAUGUCCACUAUGGGUUUUUGCUGUUGUUACAAACAGGCGGAUGUGAUGAAGUGCGUCGACACAAUUGUGGACAAGUGUACGGACCCGGGAUGUUGUCUUUCUCGUAUGCGUCCUCGCUACAAACGUCUUGUUGAUAACAUCUUCCCAUCUGUACCUCAGGAUGGAUUGGUUAAAAAUAAUAUGGAAAAGUUAACAUUCUAUGCGUUAUCGUCACCAGAAAAAUUAGAUCGUAUUGGCGAAUAUCUAUUUCAAAAAGCUAGUAGAGACAUCUCUCGCAAGAGAAAUGAGUUUGUAAUGAUUGCUAUGGAAGCUAUGGACCAGCUUCUUGUUGCAUGUCAUGCCCAAACUUUAAAUUUAUUUGUUGAAAGCUACUUGCGUAUUGUGCAAAAGCUUCUUGAAUCAUCAGAACCUAGUUUACAAAUACUAGCUACACAAUCGUUUGUACGGUUUUCUAAUAUUGAAGAGGAUACACCAUCAUAUCAUAGGCGAUAUGAUUUUUUUGUUUCCAAAUUUUCUUCUAUGUGUCAUAACAACAAUCCAAAUUUAGUCACUAUGGAAAUGAUUCGAAUGGCAGGCAUAAAAGGCAUUCAGGGAGUUAUAAGAAAAACAGUCUCCGAUGAUUUGGUUGAAAAUAUCUGGGAACCUGUUCACAUGGAUAAAAUUGUUCCAUCUUUAUUAUUUAAUAUGCAUACAAUGAAAUCUAAAACUGAAUUAGUAGUUGAAAGUGGAAUUUCAGAAGAGGUCAAUGAUAAAACUGAUUCAUUUUCAUUAGCAGAAUCUUGUUUAAGAGAGUUAAUUGGACGUGCAUCAUUUGGUCAUGUUAAAAGUGUCAUUCGUCCUGUGCUAAAACAUUUAGACGCUCAUCAUAUGUGGGUGCCAAAUGUAUUUGCUACUCAGUGUUUCCGUAUCUUAAUGUUUUCUAUUCAAUCUCAAUAUUCAUAUGCUGUCGUGGAGACAUUAAUGACACAUUUAGAUGAAAACAGCAAUGCAUCUCCAAAAAUCCGAACCAGUAUUGCUGAUGUGCUAUCAAAAAUUAUUGCUAUUGCAGCCAAUGAAAGUGUUGGGCCAACAGUAUUAGAAAUAAUAAAUUCUCUUCUAACAAAUCUUCGUACAUCAGUCACUAGACGUCCACCAUCAAAUAUUGGUCUGUCUGAAUCUGAUGGUGAAAAUGAAUACAGAGAAGCACUUAUACAUGCACUUGGAGAAUUUGCUGCCCAUUUGCCUGACUACCAGAAAAUUGAAAUCAUGAUGUUUAUUAUGUCUAAAGUACCACAGUUUAAAUCUUCAAAUAAUCCUAAUGAUCUCCAUGUACAAAGAAUGUGCCUGAAAUCUCUUUUGAUGGUAAGCACCAAGUAUAGUUCGGUACAAAUGAAUGCUACUUUUCCUCAAUCAUUUUUGGAUUUAUUAUUAAAAACAUUAACUGCUGCUGAGGAUGAAAUUCGCUUCAUUGUUUUACGCAUAUUACAUACUCUCUUAGACAGGCACAAUAAUGCAUCUAAGCUAUCUAAGGCUACGGUUAAUAUCUCCAAAUCUGAUAUAAAUCUAGAGAAAUGUUCUCGCAGUGAUACAAUAUUUAUACGGAAACAUGCUCAAGAUAUUUAUGUAUCUAUAUAUGAAAGCUUAGAAAUGACUAACAAUACUGUUGAUAAUGUCGAGGCUGUAUACACAACUUUGGCUUUAAUAUGUAUUGAAUUGUUGUCCGAGGAAACUGUUUUGGAUUUCAUCAGACUGAUUUUAAGUAUACAGGAGCUAGCCAUUACUAACGCUGUACUUUCAACGCAACAGAAAUUCCAUUUGCAUGCUUUGGUUAUUAGUAUUAUGCUCUUAGUAGCUGUUGUGACAGAUUUACAUCCACUCAAGGACUAUGUGGAAAAAAUAAUUGAACAAAGAAAAUUAUUGAGUGCUACUCAUUUGUUACCAGAAAUAAGUAUUCAUAAUGAAGUAAAAUCUGCCAGUCUCUUACCAGCUGGAGUUUUAAUUGAAGAACCAGAAUUAACCGAAGCUUUAAAAGCUUCAGGAAUUGAUAUUACAAUUAGUUGGACAUUGCUAAAACUGUUGAUCUUGGAUUGUAUGGUUUUGCUUGAAAUUUUGGAGAACAAGUCAUUUUUAUAAGUGUAAUGUAUUCAUGUAUUUAUAAUAUCUUGAAUUCAACAAAUACUUUAUUUGGACACUAGGCAUUAUCUUCAUGACACUUGAACAUAGGGUUUGGCUCCAUUGACCAGUUUAGUAGAAGAAUAUUCAAUUCGUUUAUAACCGUGUGAACAACAUUCAAAAGCAACUAGUGUUAAGUUUAUACGCAACAAAAGCUACAUUUGUUAAAAAUAUGAUGAAAGUAGAUAAACAAGCAAAAGUCCAACAAGCAAUAACCUAAGUAAUAAUAUAAAAUGUUUUAUUGGUUUAUUAAUUAGUAUCUUCACUUAUAUUUUGGCGAGUUUAAAGACAGGAAAAUAACUCUACGCAAAGCUACAGGACAAGGAAUGGAAUAGCUGGUCAUCAAGGUUUCAAUUGAUAUAACUAUAAAACUGGUUAUAGCACUAAAAAAAUGUGCUUGCAAUGCAGCGGAAAUAUUAUGGCAUUUGAAAUGUCCUAAUAAUAUUGAUUGCAUCAAUAAAUAAUUUAAAUUGUGCACCUAUUUUAUUAAAUUCAAUGUUCCUAACUUUACAUUAGAUUAAGUAGUAAGACAAUCAAUUAAAUAAUAAAACAAUUAAUAUUUUAUUUGAGAUUUAUCAUCGUUGACCAUUAAUGUUGGCAAAUAACGUCAAUGGCCGGUGAAAGAUGUGCAUUUGAGUUUAAAACAUGUUUUUUACAACAUUUACCUACAUAAUUGAAUCAUUUUGGUAAAAGACAUCAUUGACCAGAAAAUGACCUUAUCAAUAUUCCUUAUCCACCAUAACAUAUAUAUUGAAUCUUUUAUU
rnacentral:misc_RNA from 1 species